GCUAAGAAGGCCCUUUUUCCAUUUGUCACCUAGCUUAUGUCGGAUGUUGAGGGGCAGAGGACAGACCCCCAAAAUAACUUUGAUGCAUGGGCAGGAUAAUAUGGAAGCAGACAUUUCUUCAGGAUGGUAUGGAAUGUGGCACUCCUUUAAGUACUUGGGUCUGCAGCCAUGAGGGAUUUAAAAGUCAGCACAGCUACUGCAGAAGAAAACAAGGUAUUGGACUAUAAAUAUGGUUGCCCACUUUUUUUCUUAUCAAGGCUGCUGUGCCUUCUACCAGCUUCAUGACAGGAAGAAUUGGCAAUAGCAGAAGCUUUCCCCAACCCUCUAGAGCAUAUAGGGAGAGGCACAGUGAGGCUCAAUGUCUGGGAGCAACUGACCUUGAAAGUGAAAAAUGGUUGGAUGCUGUAGCACACUGGACCCAUAAAAACCAACACUGAAAAGAUAACUGAUGACAAGGCAAGUGAGAAAAUUACUUAUCUGAUACACAGAUACACGUUUUUAUAAAUACACAGCUGACCAUCUGAAUGAAGCUUCUGGUCCACUGGUGGUCCCCAGACCACCGUUUGGGAAUCCUUGUGGCAAAGGAUAUUAUCCUGUUACCAUGGUUAAUGGUAUCAAAA